CGCUUACAUGUGACGUCAGAGAGCCAGAGUUACCUCAGGAUGGGGCUUUAGGAUACGUAUAAGCGUGGAGAUGCUGCACCGCUGCAGAAAGAUCCUUGGGAGCUGAAAUGACAGAAAUGAUUGAUCAUAUGGAAGGGAAGGUUCACAUUGGGGCCCCUACAUGCCACAUACUUAGGUUUUAUGAUGGCGUUACUCUAUUGGCUUGCUGUUUCGGUCUUGCAUAAGGUUCCUUUGUUGACAGGCAAAAAAACAGGAAAAAUAAAUGCUUAUAAUUCAGAGUUUUCUGGAUAACAGGUUUCCAGGUAGGGCAUACCAUGCCUUUUGUAGUAGUAGUAAUAGAUGUGUAUGUUGGUUUACUUUUUUUCACUUAUGUUAUGUACUUAUUUUUCCUUUGGUUCCAUUAUUUAUAGUCCAACCUACUGCCCUUUCUCUUGGUGCAACCUGGAGUGCUGUAGGCUGAGCAGGUAUAAUUGGUGGUCCUUCUAUAAGGGGAGUAAUAUGUCUUUGAUCAGACACAGUAUCUAUGUGAUGUUUAAUGUAGUCAUAGCUGCUUGCAGAUAUUUGGCAAAAAAAACCAAAACAAAUGUAAAGCUUCACCAUCUAAAAGAUUGAGAGUUUAUAUAGAAGUCAACGGGAGUGGUCAAGCCAAUAUUUCAAUUUAAGUUUGUAAACUUGAAAAUUUGAGGUAUGAGUUUUUUUAUUUGCACAAGUUUACCACAAAUAAGCAAGCAUUCA